AUUAAAAUUUUAGGGUAAAGAUCUAUCGCCUUAAGGGGGAUGGGCUUUUAAGGUAAAAUUGGAAGUGGACAGACAGACAAGGGGCAAAUAGGUCCGUUGUUAAAGGGGGGGAGCCCAAACUAGAAGUUAAAGUCAGAGAUUCAAUAAUUAAGUGUAAAAGGAACAUGGGAUUUAGACAAUGAAGAGGUAGGCUUGGAGCCAGCCAUCUUUGAAAGAAUGCGUAGAAGUUCACUCAAGAACUCUUUUCUCCCAAAAAUUAUGGUGGCUAAAAGUUGAACUGAAACUCUGGGGGCAGUAAGUAGUUUGCUUGGUAGUAGAACAGACUGUUGGGAGGUGGUGAGAACCCAAGAAUCAGAAGAGAAAAUGUGAACAUGAGUAAAAAAAUUGUUGCUUCAUCUCCCCGGGUUUCCAAGCCAAAGGCACCGAGCGAAGAGGCUUGGGUGAAACAGCCUCUAAGGGGGUUACCAAUGGGCGAUAGUAAUAAACGCACAAUGUGCCAGGAAAGAUUUAUAACAAAAGAUUACUGUCGCAAACUAACACAAGUGGGAGAUAGUGAGGGGGAAAAGUUUUUUAAGGAACUCGGCUAGUCAUUAGCUUUCAUUAGAAGUUAAAACACAGGGCCUCGACUGUUUACCAAAAACAUAGCUCUUCGCUAAUAUGAGGGUAGAAGUAUGAGGGGUGAGACCUGCCCAAUGGUUGUAUCUUAAAAGGUUGGUAAGGCGAAUUUAACAAAGACAAUUUAAUGGCUGCGGUAACACUGACCGUGAAAAUGUAGCGAAAUCAAUAGUCAAUUAAUUGUUGACCGGUAUGAAUGGUGUCACGAGGGUCUCGCUGUCUUAAGGAAGUUUCCAGUGAAAUUGAACUUGUAGUGAAGAUGCUACAUCUAAAUUGUUAGACAAGAAGUCCCCAUGGAACUUUACUGGAGACUUAUGUGGCUGACUUAAAUAGUUUUAAAAUGUGGUGUGAAUCAAUUAGGGUUAGAAAAGCUCACUUUUUAUUUUAAGAAAGGCAACUUAAAAAUAUAUGUUUUUGGGAUUUGAUAAGUGAGACAGUUUGGUUGGGGCGACCGCCUUUAAAAAAGUAACGAAGGCGGACUUAAGAUGUAUGUUUAGUUAUGUCUGACUGCUAAGGGGAGACCCAGAGCAGACACUUGUCUUUGGACGGUGGGUUUAAGUGACCCGUUAGCUCGGGGUGAAAUGGUUAACGAUAAACAAAUAAAAGUUACCCUGGGGAUAACAGCGCAAUAACGUUUAAGAGUUUUUAUCGACGACGAUGUUUGCGACCUCGAUGUUGAAUUGCGGCAUCCUGGGGAGCAGUCGCUCCCAAGGGUUGGUCUGUUCGUCCAUUAAAGCCGUACAUGAUUUGAGUUAAAAGCGUCGUAAGACAGCUUGGUUUCUAUCUACAAUUUGAAGAAACAUUGAUAUAACUAUUUUCUAGUACGAAAGGAUCGAAAAAUUAGUGGUUCUCUUAUUUUUAUAAGUUACAAUCAAUUGAUUGGCCCGGAUACUUUUUGAGGGGGUCUUUUGGUUACUUGCUGAUUGCUUCUAAAGCAUGAAAAUUAUAUCAAGUUGUUUGAA
rnacentral:rRNA from 1 species